rnacentral:rRNA from 1 species
GAUGAACGCUGGCGGCGUGCCUAAUACAUGCAAGUCGAGCGAACAGAUGAGGAGCUUGCUCCUCUGACGUUAGCGGCGGACGGGUGAGUAACACGUGGAUAACCUACCUAUAAGACUGGGAUAACUUCGGGAAACCGGCGCUAAUACCGGAUAAUAUAUUGAACCGCAUGGUUCAAUAGUGAAAGACGGUUUUGCUGUCACUUAUAGAUGGAUCCGCGCCGCAUUAGCUAGUUGGUAAGGUAACGGCUUACCAAGGCAACGAUGCGUAGCCGACCUGAGAGGGUGAUCGGCCACACUGGAACUGAGACACGGUCCAGACUCCUACGGGAGGCAGCAGUAGGGAAUCUUACGCAAUGGGCGAAAGCCUGACGGAGCAACGCCGAGUGAGUGAUGAAGGUCUUCGGAUCGUAAAACUCUGUUAUUAGGGAAGAACAAAUGUGUAAGUAACUAUGCACGUAUUGACGGUACCUAAUCAGAAAGCCACGGCUAACUACGUG